GGGGACGACAGGCUUCGACGUGGUCGACUCGUGGGGGUGGUUGCGAGCCGAGGUUCCGGGCGGCCUCGUAAAUCACCCGGAAAUCAAUAAGUGCGGACACGCACACUGUCGAUCUCGGUUACGCGGCUGCUUAGUCGGUAACUGAAGUCGUCUCGACCGUCACUCGCCUGCGGUGGCGGAUCGGGAUCAGCUAGCAGGCUCGCUCGGUGAGGAUUUGCUCCCUCCGAUCCGAGGACUUUUAGGGAGCUGGCUCUCGACAACCCGGCCGGCGUGGCGAGUCGAGAGCGAGAUUUAGAGCGCCGGCUACGCUCGUAGACGCCACCAUCUACGCGACUGCGGACCCGGGUUCGAUUCCCGGCGUCUCCACCU
rnacentral:tmRNA from 1 species